rnacentral:rRNA from 1 species
GACGAACGCUGGCGGCGUGCUUAACACAUGCAAGUCGAACGGAAAGGCCCUGCUUUUGUGGGGUGCUCGAGUGGCGAACGGGUGAGUAACACGUGAGUAAACUGUCCUUGACUUUGGGAUAACUUCAGGAAACUGGGGCUCAUAUCGGAUAGGAGCUCCUGCUGCAUGGUGGGGGUUGGAAAGUUUCGGCGGUUGGGGAUGGACUCGCGGCUUAUCAGCUUGUUGGUGGGGUAGUGGCUUACAAAGGCUUUGACGGGUAGCCGGCCUGAGAGGGUGACCGGCCACAUUGGGACUGAGAUACGGCCCAGACGCGUACGGGAGGCAGCAGUGGAGAAUAUUGCGCAGUGGGCGGAAGCCUGAUGCAGCAACGCCGCGUGCGGGAUGACGGCCUUCGGGUUGUAAACCGCUUUCGCCGGUGACGAAGCGUGAGUGACGGUAAUGAGUAAGGAAGCACCGGCUAACUACGUG